rnacentral:rRNA from 1 species
GACGAACGCUGGCGGCGUGCCUAAUACAUGCAAGUAGAACGCUGAAGGAGGAGCUUGCUUCUCUGGAUGAGUUGCGAACGGGUGAGUAACGCGUAGGUAACCUGCCUGGUAGCGGGGGAUAACUAUUGGAAACGAUAGCUAAUACCGCAUAAGAGUAGAUGUUGCAUGACAUUUGCUUAAAAGGUGCAAUUGCAUCACUACCAGAUGGACCUGCGUUGUAUUAGCUAGUUGGUGGGGUAACGGCUCACCAAGGCGACGAUACAUAGCCGACCUGAGAGGGGGGUCAGCCACCAUGGGACUGGGACACGGCCCAGGAUCCUACGGGAGGCAGCAAUAGGGGAUCUUCGGCCAUGGGCGGAAGUCUGACCGCACCACGCCGGGGGGGGGGAGAAAGUUUUCGGGUCGGUAAGCUCUGUUGUUAGAGAAGAAAGAGUGUGAGAGUGGAAAGUUCACACUGUGACGGUAUCUUACCAGAAAGGGACGGCUAACUACGUG